rnacentral:rRNA from 1 species
AGUCGAGCGUGAAAGCCCGCAAGGGUGAGUAAAGCGGCGAACGGGUGAGUAAUACUUGGGUAACGUCCCUCCUAGAUUGGGAUAACGCGCCGAAAGGCGUGCUAAUACCGGAUAUGACCACGGCUUCUCUGGAAGUUGGGGUAAAAGAUGGCGCAAGCUAUCACUGGGAGAUCGGCUCAAGCACCAUUAGCUAGUUGGCGGGGUAACGGCCCACCAAGGCGACGAUGGUUAGCCGGCCUGAGAGGGUGAUCGGCCACACUGGGACUGAGAUACGGCCCAGACUCCUACGGGAGGCAGCAGUUUGGAAUAUUCCACAAUGGGCGCAAGCCUGAUGGAGCGACACCGCGUGAAGGAUGAAGGUCUUCGGAUUGUAAACUUCUUUAGACCUAGAUGAAGGCUGCAGGGUGAAUAAUCCUGCAGUUUGACAGUAUAGGUAGAAUAAGCCACGGCUAACUCUGUGCCAGCAGCCGCGGUAAUACAGAGGUGGCGAACGUUGUCCGGAUUUAUUGGGUGUAAAGGGCAUGUAGGUGGUUUUGUAAGUCAAAGGUGAAAUGGCCCGGCUUAACCAGGUCAUUGCCUUUGAAACUGCAGGACUUGAGUGCGGAAGAGGAAAGCGGAAUUCCCAGUGUAGCGGUGAAAUGCGUAGAUAUUGGGAGGAACACCGGUGGCGAAGGCGGCUUUCUGGUCCGAUACUGACACUGAGAUGCGAAAGCCAGGGGAGCAAACGGGAUUAGAUACCCCGGUAGUCCUGGCCGUAAACGAUGAGUACUA